UACGUAGGUGGCAAGCGUUGUCCGGAAUUACUGGGCGUAAAGCGCGCGUAGGCGGAUCUGCAAGUCGGGGGGUGAAAUCCCGAGGCUCAACCUCGGAACUGCCUUCGAUACUGCGGGUCUCGAGUCCGGGAGAGGUGAGUGGAAUUCCUAGUGUAGAGGUGAAAUUCGUAGAUAUUAGGAAGAACACCAGUGGCGAAGGCGGCUCACUGGCC
rnacentral:rRNA from 1 species